AAAAAGACAAACCCUGAGUUUCCGUGUCCAACGUUUGACUGUCUGUCUUAUAUGAAUUUUUUUAUAAUUAGUAUUUUUAUUGUUGUUAGAUGAUAAAACAUGAUUAAUACUUUAUGCGUGACUUGUCUUUUUAAUUUUUUUUCAUAAUUUUUUCAAAUAAAACGGACGGUCAAACGUUGGACACGGAAACCCAGGGUUUGUCUUUUU
rnacentral:pre_miRNA from 1 species